CUCAAAUGAUGAGGGAAACACAGGUGAAAAAGAUAGCCGAUUUAUGAUAUGCCCAUAAGGAGAUUCAUUCACGGAUGCUACUUAUGUUGUGAGGCAACUUAAUAAAAUAGUCAAUAACUCUUGGAGGGGGCAGUAUAUUAGUUAGAGCAGCGCUUCAAAAGAAGUAAAAUAUUUAUGGUGGAAUGAGUUCGGGUGGAAGUUCAGGUGGGAUGAAACGGAAGAGGAUGAAGUUAAAAGAAUUUUUAAGAAGAAAGCCAGUGAUCACAUACGAAAUGUGAUGAAUAAAGCAAAGACAAGUCAAGUAAAGCUAGAUUUUAUUACAUGUGACAAUUGGACGGAAAUUAAGAAAACUUGGGAAACUGAAAAGAAUAAGCAAAUAAGUGAACAGAAUGAGAAGAAUCGAGCUUUUAGUUCUAGUGAAGGGUCUGCCACAUAUGCUGGGGGCUCUAUCAACAUUGGGGAGCAUAGAAAAAGAAUAGUAGAUGAAUUGGGGACGAAACCAACAUAUACAGCUACAUUUGAACGCACAUUUCAAAAAAAAAAGAUAAGACAUAAACUGGCGAUCGAGCAAAAACUAU